GCGUCAGUGGUUUAGCGGUAAAAUCCAUCGUUGCCAUGUUGCAACAUCUCGAUGGGGCCCACGUUCGAUUCGCGGCUGACGCA